AAAAGAGAGAAAAAUUAGGGGAAAAAGGGAAAGAAGGAAGGAAAAAAAAGGGGAAGAAGAGGAAAAGAGGUAAGGCUAAUUUCUUCAAGCUUGGGUUGAAUUUUUCCAUUUUUUUCAAGUGAUAAAGUAUGAAUUAUGUUAAAAUUCUAGGGUUUUAUUUUGGCUCGAAGUUUUCAGAUUUUUUUGAGAGGAAUACUACUUGGAGCUCAAGUUAUUGAUUCUUGAAUUUCUAUCUACAUUAAGGUAAGGAGAUGUCAAUUUUUUUUUUGGGAAACCCUAGAAUUCGAUUUUGGGAUUUUGAUUAAUUAUUUGUGGGAACGAUUAUAUAAAUGGAAUAUUUCACUUGGGAGUUGAUUUUAUGGAACAAAUGUAUAUUAAAUUGGUGGAAUUGUGGUUACUAGUUUCACUAGAUUGGAGACUAAAAUUAGUUUUAAACUUGGGAAGAAGGUUUUGCUAAUGAAUUAAUUAUUAGAAAAGGGAUUAGAAAGUGGGAUUAGCUCCAAUUGAUCAAAAGAAUAUUUGGGAAAUUCAUUUGAGCAUCGACCAAUUUUAGUUAAGUAUUAUAAAAGUAGAUCUUAAAGUUUCUUAAUUUAAUAGUGAUUGAUUAGUCAUCUUGUUAUAUAUUCCAGGUGGUGACGAGGAGAUUGGAAGAGCCUAUCGACCAUCUUAGGUUCAACUUGUAUUAUGUGAGUGGAUAAGCUUAUUUUUUUAGAAAUAAGUAUUUAUUUAAUUUUGAAGUUACAUAUUUUAUAAGUUGAGUUGAUAGCAUGAUUUUUCAGAAUAAAACGAAUUUUAUUAUCAAAUGUUUUUAAAAGUUAAAUUCAGUUCAGUUAAAUUCUUUCAUUGACAUAUUAUUUCAGUAUUAACUAUUUCAGUUUAUUCAAAGUUAUUUUAAAACCACCAGAAAGUACCCAAGUGAUUUUACCCUCGUCUGCACUGGUGUGAAUGUGUUUCCACAGUGUAUGACUUCAUAUGGUUAUUUUACCCACUUUAUACUGGUGUGAAUGUGUUUCCACAGCGUAUGAUCAGUAUAGUGAUUUUACUCGUUCUGCACCAUUGUGAAUGUGUUUCCAUAGUGUAUGACCAUUUUAUAGCCCUGCGCGCGUACGAUCAAAAUUACAGAAUUUCAGAAUUACAGAAUUUCAGAAUUGAAUAACCUUGUUAUGUAUAUCGAGAUUAAUCGAUUUACGAGUAUGGUUAUUCUGGGUACAUUUUUGGUGUGAUGUUUUAGUAUCACAUAGCUUAUCAGAUUUUAGAAAUGCAGUAUACAGAAUAAAGAUGUUUAUGAUUACAGUAUAUUUUAGUUUUGAUUGUAUCAUCAGAUUUUAAGCUACAGAACUCGGCCUAUUCAGUUUAAAGAAUAAAUAUUUAGUUUAUAUGUCUGUGAAAAGAAAUUUUAUGCUAUAUGUCGGUUUUAAGAAAGAUUUUAUGAAUGGAAAAUUAAUUUUUUGCAAAUAUCCACUCACUGAGUUAUAGGCUCACAUUUUUAUCACUAUUUCUCUUAUCAGAUAGUAGCUGAGUUGAACACUACUGGGCCAGUUGAUCUAUCAAGUUGAGCCAUAGAUUGUCAAGCAUUGUAUGAACUAUCUUUUCAGUUUAAGAGUUCAUAUUUUGGAAUAGACACCUCUUUUGGUCAUAAAUUAGUUCCAUGUGUUGGGCUUGCUAUGUUUUGUAUAUAUAUUAUGCAUUUUGGGUACUGUGGUUUAGAAAUUGUUGCAAAAAC
rnacentral:lncRNA from 1 species